rnacentral:rRNA from 1 species
AGUGAACGCUGGCGGUAGGCCUAACACAUGCAAGUCGAACGGCAGCACAGUAAGAGCUUGCUCUUACGGGUGGCGAGUGGCGGACGGGUGAGGAAUACAUCGGAAUCUACUUUUUCGUGGGGGAUAACGUAGGGAAACUUACGCUAAUACCGCAUACGACCUACGGGUGAAAGCAGGGGAUCUUCGGACCUUGCGCGAGUGAAUGAGCCGAUGUCGGAUUAGCUAGUUGGCGGGGUAAAGGCCCACCAAGGCGACGAUCCGUAGCUGGUCGGAGAGGAUGAUCAGCCACACUGGAACUGCAACACGGUCCAGACUCCUACGGUAGGCAUCAGUGGGGAAUAUUGGACAAUGGGCGCAAGCCUGAUCCAGCCAUACCGCGUGGGUGAAGAAGGCCUUCGGGUUGUAAAGCCCUUUUGUUGGGAAAGAAAAGCAGCAGGUUAAUACCGCGCUGUUCUGACGGUACCAAAAGAAUAAGCACCGGCUAACUUCGUG